rnacentral:snRNA from 1 species
UUGCUCACUUUGGCAGCACAUAUACUAAAAUUGGAACAAUACAGAGGAGAUUAGCAUGGUCCCUGCACAAAGAUGACACGCAAAUUAGUGAAGCAUUCCAUAUUUUU